AAAGAUAUAAAUUUUUAAGCUUCUAACUUUAAUAUAUAUUAAAUCUUUA
rnacentral:tRNA from 1 species